GUGAAGCGGCAAAAGCUCAAAUUUGAAAUCCCCCCGGGGAGUUGUAAUUUGAAGAUUGCGUCUUGGAGGCGACCGUGUCUAUGUUCCUUGGAACAGGACGUCACAGAGGGUGAGAAUCCCGUGCGGCACGGCCCCCGGCUCCUUAUAAGGCGCUCUCGACGAGUCGAGUUGUUUGGGAAUGCAGCUCAAAGUGGGUGGUAAAUUCCAUCUAAAGCUAAAUACAGGCGAGAGACCGAUAGCGAACAAGUACAGUGAUGGAAAGAUGAAAAGCACUUUGAAAAGAGAGUGAAACAGCACGUGAAAUUGUUGAAAGGGAAGGGCAUGCCGUCAGAUUGUCAGUGUGGGUAAGAAGCGGGGUACAAAGACUGUGGAACGUGGCCCUCGGGUGUUAUAGCCGCAGUUCAUGCCCCGUCUCUUUCCGAGGCCUGCUUUGAGGACACCGACGUAAUGACGGUACGCCGCCCGUCUUGAAACACGGACCA
rnacentral:rRNA from 1 species